UCCAGAUACAUUGUGUCCAGUUUACCAAGGAGCACGGGCCUGACAGAGACCAGCGACUCAGCAGCCUCUACUCUGCAGUACCCUAAAUGAGGGAAGUCCACUGUGCAGCUGGAGGGGUCCACCACCACUGGCAGCGGCAGCAGUUCCUCAUAAGGCCCCAUCCCCAUUGGUCCACCAGAGUUACAUCAGAAGGAACCCCGCGUCCACUGAUGAAAGGAACCCCCGUCCUUACCCUACUCAGCCCCCUCCCCUAAGCGACCAGGCCUCCAGUGACACUUCACCUACACCCCCUUGGCCAAACAAUGACUGUCAUCCCAAGGACCUAAAGGACACUCUGAUGGUCCCCUGCCCCCCUAUCCCCCAGCCAUGACCCAAUCUCUCUAAUAGCACACACUAGCCCCAAUCAACUUCAACGUCUUUCAACAUCCAUUCAACACGCAUGGUUCUGCAUGGCUAUGGCCCAUCACUGAGGGCCCCUCACGUUUCAACUAGCCACAGUGAAGAGAACAUACACUAGAGAGACAGAAUGCAGGAGGGUACUACAGGACAUGCAGCAGGAGUUAAAACAGCCACUAUGAAUAUACAGAGACAGACAUAGGAAUGUGGAAUUGCCGUCAAAGACUGUAGCCCCUUUCCAAAAGGAAAGACCUUGGAUGUUAGGUUUUUACUUAAGUAUUUGUUCUUGUUCGGUCAGAGCACACGUGUGGAAAUGUAGAAUCAAACAAACCAAUAUAUCCUAAAAAGGAAUUUAGAAUACUUUCACCAAUCCAUUCAUCAAACAACAAAGAGUGAGCCCUUCUUUAUCAAUAGUGUAUAUGUACGUAUAUCAGCCCUUUCCUUCAUGUGCAUCUGCUUUGUUAGGAAAUGUGUUAGAUGUGGUCCGGGAUAUUUGAAGUGACUCACAGUGUCUACCAAGGUCUCACUCUACCGUCACUGUUUAUUCAKUUUUUUAUUUUUCACUUUUCAUAACAACAGUGUCAUUACAAAGAAUACUGUUAGCCACUAUGAUGAAGUCACAAUUAUGACACCUCUCUGAUGAAGGUGCAAUGACAAAGACUGCUGGUCUGGAGGAGGGGUCAGAGGUCAUCGGCCUAUGCUCUCACCCUCCUCCUCCACUCCAGAGCAGAGCAAACUGCACAUAGUUCCCUCCUAAAACCAUCCAUGGUCUACCCCUAUGUGAGGUUGGGGGUUGUCUGGGCUUUGCCAGUGAGGGGAAGUAUUAGAAGUAUCUGGUAUCAUUUUGAAUUAGGCCCUAUGGCAAAUACAGUUUCAUCCUAAUAUAAUAUGUGCAUUUUUUAUAUUGUUUCACUGCCUUAUACGUUCACUUUAAACCUUUAUCAGUGAAUAAGUUCAUUUUAAUCACUUAAAUGAAUGACUGUUAUUUUAUGUGUAAUGCUGGAUGUAUUUGAUGCCAAUGCUUUAGUAUUGAAGUAAACAAAGAAAACAAUACACUGGCCAAAUUCAUCUGUUUUUAAAGUUUACAUUUCUUUAUUUUUAAAACUAUGUACAAAAUGUCACUGCUAAACAAAAUGAAACUCCAAUAUGUAUUUAAAAUAUUACUACAAUAACUACCAUUCCUGCUUUUAGUUCUGAUCAAGGCAAGUAUAUACGUGCUUUGUGUAGCCUAUAGUAUCUGUUGAUGGUGCAAUAUGUAGUCAGUCUUUAUGUAUUGUACUGCAUGCCAUGUUGAUCUGAUCUAUAAAACUAUUACAUUAAUGAUGAAUUA